rnacentral:tmRNA from 1 species
AACGUUGAAAAAACCUCCAUCUCUGUUAUAAUAAACGUGCCGGUUUUCCGGCUAUGACGCUACACGUUGGUGCGGAAUAGACGCAGUGGACCCGGGGGCAGUACCCGGCGGCUCCACCACUUGAGAGAAGGGCUUUUGAAAGGCGCUCUCAGGCGGCGGGGCCGACACAGGAUCGACACGCGUAAUAAAGGCAUUGGACGGUGUCCGGUAUUGUAUCCGCCGUUAUCGGGCUAAAUUUAUAAAUGCAAACGAUAACUUUGCGUUCGUAGCCGCUAACGACAAC